GGGGGGGAGGAGAGAGAGAGAGAGAAAGAGAGAGAGAAGGGGUGUGUGUGAUGAUCAAACACCACCACCCCCUUUUCCAAAACACUCCUUUCUCUCUCCCCCCCUUUCUUUUCUUUUCUUCCCCCCUUCUCCUUCUCCUCUCCUUUUAAAAGAUGGACAUCGACUCUCUCUUCUUCUUCUUCUUCUUCUUCUCUCUCUCUCCCCCCCC